AGCUCCAAUAGCGUAUAUUAAAGUUGUUGCGGUUAAAAGCUCGUAGUUGGAUUUCUGCCGGUGAGCGACGGUCUGCCCUUAGUGGUUUGUACUCGUCGGUCUUCACUGGCAUCUUCCUGGGGGCUGUGUCUGCACUUCGCUGUGUGGUGCAUGAUCCAGGACUUUUACUUUGAGGAAAUGAGAGUGUUUCAAGCAGGCAUUCGCCUUGAAUACGUUAGCAUGGAAUAAUGGCAUCGGACCUUCAUCCAAAGCUGUUGGUUCCUUGGAAGAAGGUAAAGGUGAAUAGGGAUUGUUGGGGGCAUUCGUAUUUGACUGUCAGAGGUGAAAUUCUUGGAUUUUGUUGAAGACGGACUACUGCGAAAGCAUCUGCCAAAGAUGUUCUCA
rnacentral:rRNA from 1 species